UACGUAGGAUGCAAGCGUUGUUCGGAAUUACUGGGCGUAAAGCGUGCGCAGGCGGUUCGUUAAGUUCGUUGUGAAAGCCCCGGGCUCAACCUGGGAACUGCAAUGGAAACUGGCGGGCUUGAGUGUGGCAGAGGGGGUGGAAUUCCGCGUGUAGCAGUGAAAUGCGUAGAGAUGCGGAGGAACACCGAUGGCGAAGGCAGCCCCCUGGGCCAACACUGACGCUCAGGCACGAAAGCGUGGGGAGCAAACAGG
rnacentral:rRNA from 1 species